rfam:Picea glauca, whole genome shotgun sequence.
UUAUGUGCAUGCCUAUAGAGUUACUGCAUCGGAUCCCAUCAGAACUCCAUAUUUAAGCACGCUUGGGAUAGACUAGUAUUGGGAUGGGUGACCUCCCGGGAAGUCCUAGUGUUUUACAUGCC